CUGAAACCGUGCGCUUACAAGCGGUCGGAGCCCUUUAGUGGGGUGACGGCGUGCCUUUUGCAUAAUGAGCCUACGAGUUACACCUACUUGGCAAGGUUAAUCCCGCGAACGGGAGGAGCCGCAGCGAAAGCGAGUCUGAAUAGGGCGCAUUAGUCAGGUGGGGUAGACGCGAAACUUGGUGAUCUACCCAUGGCCAGGUUGAAGUUUUGGUAACACAAAAUGGAGGACCGAACCAGUACACGUUGAAAAGUGUUUGGAUGAG
rnacentral:rRNA from 1 species